CGAAAGCCUGACGGAGCAAGACCGCGUGAGGGAGGAAGGCUCUUGGGUUGUAAACCUCUUUUCUCAGGGAAGAAGCUCUGACGGUACCUGAGGAAUCAGCCUCGGCUAACUCCGUGCCAGCAGCCGCGGUAAUACGGAGGAUGCAAGCGUUAUCCGGAAUCACUGGGCGUAAAGCGUCUGUAGGUGGUUCAGUAAGUCUGUUGUCAAAGAUUAGGGCUCAACCCUAAAUAGGCAGUGGAAACUACUAGACUAGAGCACAGUAGAGGUAGAGGGAAUUCCCAGUGUAGCGGUGAAAUGCGUAGAGAUCGGGAAGAACAUCGGUGGCGAAAGCGCUCUACUGGACGGCAACUGACACUCAGGGACGAAAGCUAGGGGAGCG
rnacentral:rRNA from 1 species